UGAAUGGGAGGUACACCUGUCAAACAGUAAUGCAGGUGUCCUAAGGCGAGCUCAGGGAGGACAGAAACCUCCCGUGGAGCAGAAGGGCAAAAGCUUGCUUGAUCUUGAUUUUCAGUAUGAAUACAGGCCAAGAAAGCAGGCCUCACGAUCCUUCUGACCUUUGGGGUCUUAAGCAGGGG
rnacentral:ncRNA from 1 species